AACGAACGCUGGCGGCGUGCCUAACACAUGCAAGUCGAACGAGAAAGGGGCUUCGGCUCCGAGUAAAGUGGCGCACGGGUGAGUAACACGUGGGUAACCUGCCUCUAAGAUUGGGAUAACUCGUCGAAAGAUGAGCUAAUACCGAAUAAGACCACAGUUCCUGCGGGAACAGGGGUCAAAGGUAGCCUCUGCUUGCAAGCUAUUACUUAGAGAUGGGCCUGCGCACCAUUAGCUAGUUGGUAGGGUAACGGCCUACCAAGGCAAAGAUGGUUAGCUGGUCUGAGAGGAUGAUCAGCCACACUGGAACUGAGACACGGUCCAGACUCCUACGGGAGGCAGCAGUGGGGAAUAUUGCGCAAUGGGCGAAAGCUUGACGCAGCAACGCCGCGUGAGUGAUGAAGGCCUUCGGGUCGUAAAGCUCUGUCGGGAGGAACGAAUGCUCCUGAGGUUAACAGCCUCGGGAGGUGACGGUACCUUCAAAGGAAGCACCGGCUAACUCUGUGCCAGCCGCCGCGGUAAGAC
rnacentral:rRNA from 1 species